GACGUAGGGUGCGAGCGUUGUCCGGAUUUAUUGGGCGUAAAGAGCUCGUAGGCGGCUCAGUAAGUCGGGUGUGAAACCUCCAGGCUCAACCUGGAGACGCCACCUGAUACUGCUGUGGCUAGAGUCCGGUAGGGGAGCGUGGAAUUCCUGGUGUAGCGGUGAAAUGCGCAGAUAUCAGGAGGAACACCAGCGGCGAAGGCGGCGCUCUGGGCCGGAACUGACGCUGAGGAGCGAAAGCGUGGGUAGCAAACAGG
rnacentral:rRNA from 1 species